CAAAGGAGAUCUCCUUAAACCUACACCUGGGGUCGCAAGUCCUAGGCACUGCUCUGAGUUACUCCCUAUGCCACACGAUAGAUUGGAUCGGAUCGCAUUACAAUUUUGUUAUAAUCAUUUUAAGUACUACCUACAUAGUAUUGUAAAGAGUGCGAGUAUAACCUACGCCCGCGCCCUGCAAAUAUAGAAAAGUAGCUUCCAAUUCAGUCGAAAGACUACAUCAGAAGUGGGAUAAGAUCCACCCCCACUUUCAAAAUUUAACUAAUUCAGUUAGUUACAUUGAACGAAGAAAUGUCUCUCUUCGCUUCCGGUAUGGAAGCUAUUUCAGAAAAUAGCUGAAGUUAUAGGCCCACCUCCUGACGAUACAUCUGUUUUUAGCGAGUGUGCAAGUUAGUUGCAAUAUUUGGUGGUGAUUAGUGGGUACAUCAGUAUUUUAGUUCUUUUCGGUCGUUCU
rnacentral:misc_RNA from 1 species